rnacentral:misc_RNA from 1 species
AACGCACGAGACCUGCGGACCUGCGGAAGGAUCAUUACAGAGUUGAAAAACUCCCAAACCCUUGUGAACAUACCUAACGUUGCUUCGGCGGUGCGGCCCUAGGCCGCUGCCUCCCUGUGAGGCGCCCGCCGGAGGUUUACAAACUCUAUGUAUUAUAUUGUCUUCUCUGAGUUGUCUUUUAAAUAAGUCAAAACUUUUAACAACGGAUCUCU